UUCAUCUUUCUGGGCAACAGAGCCGAUUUCGUUUUAUUUCACCAAAAGAGCAUGUGUUUUGUUUUGUUUUUAAAACCAGCACAAAUUAGACUCUUAAUUGAUGCAAUGAUAUAUUUUAAAAACAAAAACCAAAGAUUUGAUGUCUGACAUAUUGGCAAAGCAGCACUUAAUGAAGGUCCAGAGAAAUAACUGUUUCCUGGAUGAAAACUCGGAGAACCAGCUGAUUCCUUCGUUACCACCAAUCUAUUUCAAGUAGCAAGAACUCAUGACUCUCAAAAGUGGAAAUGCAAGGGACAUUUGUCACGGAGAAGCCGUGAUGCAACGUACACAAACAACCGAUUCGAAACCAGAAAGUGGGACAGGCAAUAUUUACUUAGAGAGCACAAAGCAAAUUUUCACUGUGAUUUCUGGAUUGCAGAUAUCUGCCUCCUUAGUUCCCAAGCAGUAGGCUUGCAGGACACUUAUUCACGUGCUCUCGCUGGAGUCCAGGCAUUCCACUCAGAUAAGAUCACACCUUCAGGAAAGGAGGGUGGAGGGAAGAUGAAAUUAACCUUUGCCCUGAUCGUUUGUCACUGGAUAAGAUGUCUUGAGAUAACCACAUCAGUGAAUCCCGGUGGGAGGACUGGGUAAAAACAAGAUCAAACUGAAAACCGGAGAUAGAAUUUGAAAUGAAGUUUCCCAGGUCGAGUGCAGAACUGUGGAGUUUACAAGGUGACACAAUAGUGGCAAACAGCACUCACCUCCUGAAAGAGCGUAGACAUUUCACAGACCAGACAUGAGCUGGGACUUUGCAUUUCACAUUUGUGCCUGUCGGAGAGGAAGAAAUCUCGCAGCAGUGGAGUGUGGGCAGAAUGAAGGAAAAAGAUGUUUCCAGAGUUAUGGCUGCAUAGAGGAGGGACGCAGCCUAACCUUCCACUCUCACCUUGCUUUCCUGAUUAACUAAAGCUGAAACCCUAGCUGCUGGCGAUGACUGGUCUCCAUGGGUAGAUCCAUGAUUUUGUAAAUAGCUAAAGUCUCCAAGGCUGUGAAAGAGGGAGAGAGAGACCAGGAGCAGCGAGUAGAAAGCAGAACUGCCCUGAGAAAGGUUAGCUUAAUUAGUAGAACAUCAAGACCAUUAAAAAGGAGAGACGAUGGGUAACAACUCUGGAGUGAAGAGCAGCAAGCUAACACCGAGUCAACUGACGUCCUCAGCUGCUUGAAUAGUAACACAACAACUACUACACUGUGGGGAAGAAAUCAAAGCAAGAUGCUUCUAUAUCCUGGUCUGAAAGUCAGCUUCCUCACUUAAUACAUGCGCUCCAAUUUGCGGGGGCUGAUUUUUGGAAAAAGGUGCAUAUUUUGUGUGAGAAAAUACUGUACGCUGUAGGUUCCCCACCACCGCCCCAAAAAAACUCAUUACUUAUAUUACCAGUUAAAGAAGCUAAUGAGCAGGUGGUGUGGUGGUAGAUGCACCCUAGAUAGUGGUCAACCCACCAAGGUGUAAAUAAAGCUAAUUUGUCACUUCAUACACAGGAUUUCCUUCAUGCUUUUAUGAUUCGAUCAUACGUCAUUUUAUUUCAUGAUACCAGUUCCCUCUUUCUGAAAUGUACUGUGGGUUGCAAGACAGCGGCCAUUCCUUCUACCUUAUGGUUCAGGAGACAAAAUGAUUGUGGUGGAUUGUACCCAAACCGUUAGUCCAGAUUAUGCUUAACCUAGAAUCAUUUGUACAGAACUGGAGCGUCUAAACACAGCAACCUUAAUUAAAUAAAAAUGUGCAAGGCUGUGGCUCCUAAAACAGCUAUAAUAAACGACCAGGAAACAUUAAUGUACAACACACAGGACCAAAUUCAACAUGGCACAAGAGGAUUCAAAGUCAAGCAGAUUCCAGAGACGCGGUCUUGUAUUUAGAAGCCAAGAUGCUCAAGGAAAAUAGUCUCUUUAUUUUUUUUGCAUACCAUGAAAAUGGCUAGAAGUGAGGGAAGCUUUUCAGUCAUUUGAAAAAUCCAGCUAAGAAAAAUAUGCUCAAAUCUUUGGCUACGCCUCCAAAGUCCGACCACUGCACACAAGUAGCUGUGAGCUAGAAGAACAACACGUGGAACUGAAAGGUUAAUUUUAAAUGCACAACAAUCAUAAAAAAAAAAGCCUACCACAAAACUAAGCGACAGCAUGAUGGCAGAGGCUCUUUAACACUGGGAUGUUUGUCCUGCACAAUAAUUACAGUGUAACUUGUGCAAUACCAAGGGGAGCCCGGUCAGCAAUGCAAACCGGAGGGAGCAAUCAGCCAGUUUGAGAAUUCCCCUGCAUUUCCAUGAGAAGAAACCAGAUGGCAAUGCUGAGGCUCUUAAAAAAAAUGCUGCAGUUCCCUUGCAGCACGGCAGACAGUGCUCCAAGGGCCCCUUCGCCUCCAUCUGCACGAGGGGUGUGUUCUUGUUGCCAGGUGACAGGAGACCAAGAAUGUUGCCUGGCAUAUUGAGUUGUAGGCAAUUCCUAAAUCAUUCCUCCAGCGUGCCGUGUGACACGGUCCUCCCCGCCACGGCUUCCUGUCGCUUCUGUUUACUCUGGAACGCAGCUCAAACUUUCCAAUUUACAUUAUAGUGAUUUCUACUGGGCAGGAAGCUCACUGUAAUCAUCUGCUUUAUUUGCCUGCCGAGAGGUCGAGCCACUCAAUGCGCCGCAUUAAAACUUGUUAAAUAGUUAAUCUGUCACAGUAGCCUGAAGUGCAGCAUGAUGCUUCCAUCGGUACGCAGCCCCCUCCAACCCCAGCUUGGAGAUCUCUGAGCAUCAUGUCACAACACAGGGCUGUUCAUGCUGCGGCGAGUGCAGAAGUGUCUGACCAGCAGGGCUUGCCUGACUUAUCACUUAUUUAGAAUUCACUCUAGUUGCCAUGCUGCUACUGAGGCCUUUGCAAAUUCCUGGCCAUGCCUGUGAUCAAGGAAGAUAUUCAGCACAUAUUCAAGCAGCAGGGCUUGUCAAAGGAAGAGAAAGUCCCUUUCCAUUUUUUACUGCAAACUUUUACUGAGCUCUGUCACCUAUGGUCCGUGACAGAGUUGAAAAAUCAGGCUAUGCAGUACUGAAGGUUAGUUAGUGGAAAAGCAGUACUGCACCUAGUAUAGACAACGCGUAACUGCCGAUAGUUAGGGGACAACUCUGCCGCCCCCACUGCUGCCGGGCGCUGGGUCUAGCAGGGCUGCACCCCACCAUUGGCACAGAAAUCUGGGAGGAGAGAAGGGGAGCGCACAUCCUCCCCUGUGCUGCCCCCCCACCUCGCUUAUAGCACCUAGCCAGUCCUAUCCUAUUACUUCUAUUCUCGGUGUCCAAUUAAAACGAUCCCAAAUAAAUGCAAACGUGCACAGA